rnacentral:rRNA from 1 species
UACAGAGGAUGCAAGCGUUAUCCGGAAUGAUUGGGCGUAAAGUGUCUGUAGGUGGCUCUUCAAGUCCGCCGUCAAAUCCCAGGGCUCAACUCUGGACAGGCGGUGGAAACUACCAAGCUGGAGUACGGUAGGGGCAGAGGGAAUUUCCGGUGGAGCGGUGAAAUGCAUUGAGAUCGGAAAGAACACCAGCGGCGAAGGCGCUCUGCUGGGCCGACACUGACACUGAGAGACGAAAGCUAGGGGAGCAAAUGGG